ACAGCAGUAGCCGCGGUAAUACGUAGGGUGCGAGCGUUAAUCGGAAUUACUGGGCGUAAAGCGUGCGCAGGCGGUUAUGUAAGACAGAUGUGAAAUCCCCGGGCUCAACCUGGGAACUGCAUUUGUGACUGCAUGGCUAGAGUACGGUAGAGGGGGAUGGAAUUCCGCGUGUAGCAGUGAAAUGCGUAGAUAUGCGGAGGAACACCGAUGGCGAAGGCAAUCCCCUGGACCUGUACUGACGCUCAUGCACGAAAGCGUGGGGAGCAAACAGGAUUAGAUACCCGUGUAGUCCCUGUCUCUUAUAC
rnacentral:rRNA from 1 species